CCUGAGUAGCAGCCAGAGCACUCUCUUUACUGCGGCGUUCUCGUUCUUCCCUUUCUUUUGAUUCACAGAGUGAAACACUGAGGUUGGCUAUCUCAGCCUCAAGCGUCUCUCUUAUCUCCUUCUUUUGUUUUGUGGCGAGCUUCCACCAUUUCUCUUUCUCACGACAAUCCCUCUCAGCCUCUUUCAGUUGGCUUUUGACGGUAUUCAAGCAGCUGUCAGCCUGAUCUAACCCCUGUUUGACU
rnacentral:lncRNA from 1 species